UGGGGAAUAUUGCACAAUGGAGGGAACUCUGAUGCAGCGACGCCGCGUGAACGAAGAAGGCUUUCGAGUCGUAAAGUUCUUUUAUAUGGGAAGAUAAUGACGGUACCAUAAGAAAAAGCCCCGGCUAACUACGUACCAGCAGCCGCGGUAAUACGUAGGGGGCUAGCGUUGUCCGGAAUCACUGGGCGUAAAGGGUUCGCAGGCGGAAAUGCAAGUCAGGUGUAAAAUGCAGUAGCUUAACUACUGUAAGCCUUUGAAACUGCAUAUCUUGAUAAGAGUAGAGGUAAGUGGAAUUUUUAGUGUAGCGGUGAAAUGCGUAGAUAUUAAAAAGAAUACCGGUGGCGAAGGCGACUUACUGGGCUCAUUCUGACGCUGAGGAACGAAAGCGUGGGUAGCAAACAGG
rnacentral:rRNA from 1 species